GUACCCUUCACUACGGAAUAGUCCCGGGAAACUGGGUUUAAUACCGUAUACGCCCUUCGGGGGAAAGAAUUUCGGUGAGGGAUCGGCCCGCGUUAGAUUAGUUAGUUGGUGGGGUAAUGGCCUACCAAGACUACGAUCUAUAGCUGGUUUGAGAGGAUGAUCAGCAACACUGGGACUGAGACACGGCCCAGACUCCUACGGGAGGCAGCAGUGGGGAAUCUUAGACAAUGGGGGCAACCCUGAUCUAGCGAUGCCGCGUGAGUGAUGAAGGCCUUAGGGUCGUAAAGCUCUUUCGCCUGUGAUGAUAAUGACAGUAGCAGGUAAAGAAACCCCGGCUAACUCCGUGCCAGCAGCCGCGGUAAUACGGAGGGGGUUAGCGUUGUUCGGAAUUACUGGGCGUAAAGCGCACGUAGGCGGAUUAGUCAGUCAGAGGUGAAAUCCCAGGGCUCAACCCUGGAACUGCCUUUGAUACUGCUAGUCUUGAGUUCGAGAGAGGUAAGUGGAAUUCCGAGUGUAGAGGUGAAAUUCGUAGAUAUUCGGA
rnacentral:rRNA from 1 species